rnacentral:snoRNA from 1 species
AAAAAAGCAGGGAUCUAUUACCUUAUUUGUGAAUGGGUCUCUCGUAAACUUCAGGGAUAGUAUAAUUGCGUUGUUAUUGGGUGAACCACUUGACCACUCAUGAUGGAAUGGUUCAGUAAACGAUGAUACAUAC